AUGCUGAUUGAGAAGCUUAUCUCAGAGGCCAUCUACCAGAAUGAUGGGGCCCCACUCAGGAAACCUGUGGUGGGUUCUACUGCUACAUGUGGUCCGUCAUGGAGGGAAAUGACACCAAGGUUUGUGUGCAGAUGGACUGUAAGGAGGGCAUACGGGACUUCAACACAUUCUUCCAGUUCUCCAAGAUGUACAUUCUCAAACUGCUGGACAAACACCUCCCAGAGUUCCACGGCAAGAUCUAAUUGGGCCAUGUACACUCCUUGAACCUAGCUGUGGAAAAGCAUACACAGUCAUUGGGAUACAAGUCAUUGUGACAAAAACCCGUUAGCUUCGAUAGAAAUAUGAGCUUAAUUUUUUUAAACCUGAAAAGGUGUUCUAUAAACUAGUUUGAUGAUUGCUAUUGUAUAAACAUUUGUUUUGUAUGUUAGAGAUUAAUUUCAACAACAAAAAUUCUGGCAGACCUGGCCAUUGAACAUCAGUAACUUACAGUAAUCUGUGGCAGGGCUUUUUCUAUAGUACCCACGGGUCCGACUAUCGGACCCAUUCCCAAAGCAAAAUAUAAGAUAUUUUUCCCAAUUUUCAUAAAAAAAUCCCAAUCAAUUUUUUAUUUUUUUUAGAAAGUCUUUUUACAUGUACUGGAUCAUUUUCAACAUCAUAUCAAUUAUGUGAUGUUAAGUUUUUUUGAUAAUUGAAUUCGGAAAUCAUUGAUUUUCAUCACAUUUAGAUAUCUGUAUGAAAUAUUAUCUGUCAUGAUCGAUUUAUUGCAAGAGAUAUUUACACCCAAGGAUUGAUAUUUCAGCAAAUUUGGGUCUUUUAAAGGGAAAUAAACUAAUAUAAAACCAUUUCCUAAUUCGCUGGAGACUAGACAGCUUUUUCUUUUAACUGUAAAAUUUCCCAAUUUCGGCAUUUUCACGACGCAAAAUUCCCAAAAUGUCUAGGGUCUUUUUCCCAAAUUGGGCAAAAAAGCCCUGUGUGGUAAAAUAUGGCUUUGAAUAACUCUGACAUGUUGAAUGUUUGUUGUUUUGCAAUUUGUACCUUGCUGUUUUUCAGGAUAUGAUCAUGGUAUUGUCACUUUUGCUUAAAACAGCUGUAACAUGUUUUGUUUAUCACAAUUUUGUAACUUUUGCUUUGUGUUUUUAAAGUAAAAAGAAGAAAAAGUUGAGGACUUUCCAAACUAUGGCUUAAAACAGUAGUAAUAUGUUGUUUUGUUAAUUUUGUAAUUAUUGUCUGGUCUGCUUUUCAGACAAAAAAACAAGGUAUGCCAUGGCCUUGGUGGUGUCAUGGCUUGGUGUUGUCAGCAUGCAAAAACUUUUAACCUUUGCCAUAUUUUCCAGAAAAUGUUAGGUAAAAAAAAAAAGAUAUUCAAAUAAAACUUGGAACACAUGUUGCAAAAACAAUACUAAAUGUUAUACCCCUUGUAUGACAGAAGAAAAAUAUAUGAGCAUGGGGUUUGCUUCCCAGUGCUCUUGUUUCUUUCUCUAAUAAGCUGAAUACUAUUUUGGCUUCUGUUUUGAUCUAUUUUCUAGAAUGAAUCACUGUUAAAACAUGUUGUGUAUUGAAUCAAAAGUUCAAUGAAGCUGUUGACCAAUAACCAGUUCACAAUCAUUCUGUUUGUUAAGAAAGUACAGUAUUAGUGUUGUUCAUUGCUUCUGCUACAUAAAAUACAAGCAAAACCAA